rnacentral:rRNA from 1 species
GAUGAACGCUGGCGGCGUGCUUAACACAUGCAAGUCGAACGGGAAUUAUUUUAUUGAAACUUCGGUCGAUUUAAUUUAAUUCUAGUGGCGGACGGGUGAGUAACGCGUGGGUAACCUGCCUUAUACAGGGGGAUAACAGUCAGAAAUGGCUGCUAAUACCGCAUAAGCGCACAGAGCUGCAUGGCUCAGUGUGAAAAACUCCGGUGGUAUAAGAUGGACCCGCGUUGGAUUAGCUGGUCGGUGGGGUAACGGCCCACCAAGGCGACGAUCCAUAGCCGGCCUGAGAGGGUGAACGGCCACAUUGGGACUGAGACACGGCCCAGACUCCUACGGGAGGCAGCAGUGGGGAAUAUUGCACAAUGGGGGAAACCCUGAUGCAGCGACGCCGCGUGAAGGAAGAAGUAUCUCGGUAUGUAAACUUCUAUCAGCAGGGAAGAUAGUGACGGUACCUGACUAAGAAGCCCCGGCUAACUACGUG